CCUACGGGUGGCAGCAGUGGGGAAUAUUGCACAAUGGGGGAAACCCUGAUGCAGCGACGCCGCGUGAGUGAAGAAGGAUUUCGGGAUGUAAAGCUCUAUCAGCAGGGAAGAAAAUGACGGUACCUGACUAAGAAGCCCCGGCUAACUACGUGCCAGCAGCCGCGGGAAUACGUAGGGGGCAAGCGUUAUCCGGAAUUACUGGGUGUAAAGGGAGCGUAGACGGCAGUGCAAGUCUGGAGUGAAAGGCGCGGGCUCAACCCCCGGACUGCUCUGGAAACUGUACGGCUGGAGUGCAGGAGAGGUAAGUGGAAUUCCUAGUGUAGCGGUGAAAUGCGUAGAUAUUAGGAGGAACACCAGUGGCGAAGGCGGCUUACUGGACUGUAACUGACGCUGAGGCUCGAAAGCGUGGGGAGCAAACAGGAUUAGAUACCCCAGUAGUC
rnacentral:rRNA from 1 species